UUAUUAAACAAUUUCAUUGUUAAUAAAUGCAGAGAAAUCGUGGCAAAAUCCGUAGCGUCGUCCAUAUUUGACUCUACGACAAUUACAGAACUGAUCAACGGAAGGCGCAUUUGUAGUGGUGUCCAGUUAAAACGAAAACAUAACUGAAAUAAAUCUCUAUAUGUUUCAUUUCUGUUUCUGAGUUUCCGUUUUCAGGUAAUGCGGAGUCCAGGCUAUAGUCGUAAUGGCGGAAAGUUUAGCUAAGAGAACGAGAAAGCCAGUAGAUUUGGAAUUACUUAUUGAAGAAGUCAGAACGUGCGGGUGUUUAUACGACAAGAAAUGUAAAGAAUUUAAAGAUAUAGGGUCGAAACGCGCGAUACGGAGUGCGAUAGCCGUGAAAUUUGGAUCGAAUGUUCAGUUAACGAUACGUCUCCAUUAAGAAAAAUUUCACAUUUUAUACACCAAGAUGAAAAUAAUCUGGAAAUAGUAUCCCGCCUGUCACUCACUCCAAUAACGAAAACAUUCCAACCAGUGAAACUCAAAUGCAAAAGUAUGUACUAUACCCUUUGAACUAAUUUAAAUACAGUAAACUUAUAUAAUGUUUUAAACAACCGAUCAUUGUAAUAAAUUUGAUGUACAGUAAAAUAACUAAAUAUCAAACUCGGCGUUUUUAAAACACUUAAUAAAACAUUAAACGCCUUCCGUGGCCGAGAAACGUUUAUUUAAUAAAACACUAACGUUUUCGGCCUCCCGGAAUAGGCCAUCCUCGGGUGUAAAUGAGUUCCAACGUAUUUUAAAAAACAGUAUUAAGUGUUUGGGACGUAUAAUAAAUAAUAAUAUAAAAAUAAUCCACAAAGAAAAAGAUAAACUUUUACGGAGAUUCGAGGAACACUUGGGAGUUGUAAAUGCGCGCAAC